rnacentral:rRNA from 1 species
UUAAGCGACUAAGCGUACACGGUGGAUGCCCUGGCAGUCAGAGGCGAUGAAGGACGUGCUAAUCUGCGAAAAGCGUCGGUAAGGUGAUAUGAACCGUUAUAGCCGGCGAUGUCCGAAUGGGGAAACCCAGUGUGAUUCGUCACACUAUCGUUAACUGAAUACAUAGGUUAACGAGGCGAACCGGGGGAACUGAAACAUCUAAGUACCCCGAGGAAAAGAAAUCAACCGAGAUUCCCCCAGUAGCGGCGAGCGAACGGGGAGCAGCCCAGAGUCUGAAUCAGCUUGUGUGUUAGUGGAACGGUCUGGAAAGUCCGACGGUACAGGGUGAUAGUCCCGUACACCAAAAUGCACAGGCUGUGAACUCGAAGAGUAGGGCGGGACACGUGGUAUCCUGUCUGAAUAUGGGGGGACCAUCCUCCAAGGCUAAAUACUCCUGACUGACCGAUAGUGAACCAGUACCGUGAGGGAAAGGCGAAAAGAACCCCGGCGAGGGGAGUGAAAAAGAACCUGAAACCGUGUACGUACAAGCAGUGGGAGCACCUUCGGGUGUGACUGCGUACCUUUUGUAUAAUGGGUCAGCGACUUAUAUUCUGUAGCAAGGUUAACCGUAUAGGGGAGCCGCAGGGAAACCGAGUCUUAACUGGGCGUUAAGUUGCAGGGUAUAGACCCGAAACCCGGUGAUCUAGCCAUGGGCAGGUUGAAGGUUGGGUAACACUAACUGGAGGACCGAACCGACUAAUGUUGAAAAAUUAGCGGAUGACUUGUGGCUGGGGGUGAAAGGCCAAUCAAACCGGGAGAUAGCUGGUUCUCCCCGAAAGCUAUUUAGGUAGCGCCUCGUGAACUCAUCUUCGGGGGUAGAGCACUGUUUCGGCUAGGGGGUCAUCCCGACUUACCAACCCGAUGCAAACUACGAAUACCGAAGAAUGUUAUCACGGGAGACACACGGCGGGUGCUAACGUCCGUCGUGAAGAGGGAAACAACCCAGACCGCCAGCUAAGGUCCCAAAGUCACAGUUAAGUGGGAAACGAUGUGGGAAGGCACAGACAGCCAGGAUGUUGGCUUAGAAGCAGCCAUCAUUUAAAGAAAGCGUAAUAGCUCACUGGUCGAGUCGGCCUGCGCGGAAGAUGUAACGGGGCUAAACUGUGCACCGAAGCUGCGGCAGCGACACUAUGUGUUGUUGGGUAGGGGAGCGUUCUGUAAGCCUGCGAAGGUGGCCUGUGAGGGUUGCUGGAGGUAUCAGAAGUGCGAAUGCUGACAUAAGUAACGAUAAUGCGGGUGAAAAGCCCGCACGCCGGAAGACCAAGGGUUCCUGUCCAACGUUAAUCGGGGCAGGGUGAGUCGACCCCUAAGGCGAGGCCGAAAGGCGUAGUCGAUGGGAAACAGGUUAAUAUUCCUGUACUUGGUGUUACUGCGAAGGGGGGACGGAGAAGGCUAUGUUAGCCGGGCGACGGUUGUCCCGGUUUAAGCAUGUAGGCGGAGGUUCCAGGUAAAUCCGGUACCUUUUUAACGCUGAGGUGUGAUGACGAGGCACUACGGUGCUGAAGUAACAAAUGCCCUGCUUCCAGGAAAAGCCUCUAAGCAUCAGGUAACAUUAAAUCGUACCCCAAACCGACACAGGUGGUCAGGUAGAGAAUACCAAGGCGCUUGAGAGAACUCGGGUGAAGGAACUAGGCAAAAUGGUGCCGUAACUUCGGGAGAAGGCACGCUGAUAUGUAGGUGAAGCCCCUGCGGGUGGAGCUGAAAUCAGUCGAAGAUACCAGCUGGCUGCAACUGUUUAUUAAAAACACAGCACUGUGCAAACACGAAAGUGGACGUAUACGGUGUGACGCCUGCCCGGUGCCGGAAGGUUAAUUGAUGGGGUUAUCCGUAAGGAGAAGCUCUUGAUCGAAGCCCCGGUAAACGGCGGCCGUAACUAUAACGGUCCUAAGGUAGCGAAAUUCCUUGUCGGGUAAGUUCCGACCUGCACGAAUGGCGUAAUGAUGGCCAGGCUGUCUCCACCCGAGACUCAGUGAAAUUGAACUCGCUGUGAAGAUGCAGUGUACCCGCGGCAAGACGGAAAGACCCCGUGAACCUUUACUAUAGCUUGACACUGAACAUUGAGCCUUGAUGUGUAGGAUAGGUGGGAGGCUUUGAAGCGUGGACGCCAGUCUGCGUGGAGCCAACCUUGAAAUACCACCCUUUAAUGUUUGAUGUUCUAACGUUGGCCCCUGACCGGGGUUGCGGACAGUGUCUGGUGGGUAGUUUGACUGGGGCGGUCUCCUCCCAAAGAGUAACGGAGGAGCACGAAGGUUAGCUAAUCCUGGUCGGACAUCAGGAGGUUAGUGCAAUGGCAUAAGCUAGCUUGACUGCGAGCGUGACGGCGCGAGCAGGUGCGAAAGCAGGUCAUAGUGAUCCGGUGGUUCUGAAUGGAAGGGCCAUCGCUCAACGGAUAAAAGGUACUCCGGGGAUAACAGGCUGAUACCGCCCAAGAGUUCAUAUCGACGGCGGUGUUUGGCACCUCGAUGUCGGCUCAUCACAUCCUGGGGCUGAAGUAGGUCCCAAGGGUAUGGCUGUUCGCCAUUUAAAGUGGUACGCGAGCUGGGUUUAGAACGUCGUGAGACAGUUCGGUCCCUAUCUGCCGUGGGCGCUGGAGAAUUGAGGGGGGCUGCUCCUAGUACGAGAGGACCGGAGUGGACGCAUCACUGGUGUUCGGGUUGUCAUGCCAAUGGCAUUGCCCGGUAGCUAAAUGCGGAAGAGAUAAGUGCUGAAAGCAUCUAAGCACGAAACUUGCCCCGAGAUGAGUUCUCCCUGAGACUUUAAGUCUCCUGAAGGAACGUUAAAGACGAUGACGUUGAUAGGUCGGGUGUGUAAGCGUAGCGAUACGUUGAGCUAACCGAUACUAAUGAACCGUGAGGCUUAACCUU